rnacentral:tRNA from 1 species
GGGGUUGUAGUUAAUUAUAACAUUUAGGUUGCAUCUAAAAAGUACUAAAAAGUCUGCCUUA